rnacentral:rRNA from 1 species
GGGCCCGCACAAGCGGUGGAGCAUGUGGUUUAAUUCGAUGAUACGCGAGGAACCUUACCAGGACUUAAAUGUAAGUUGCAUGAUUCAGAAAUGAAUCUUUCUUCGGACUACUUACAAGGUGCUGCAUGGUUGUCGUCAGCUCGUGCCGUGAGGUGUCAGGUUAAGUCCUAUAACGAGCGCAACCCCUAUCGUUAGUUGCCAUCAAGUAAAGUUGGGAACUCUAGCGAAACUGCCGGUGCAAACCGAGAGGAAGGUGGGGAUGACGUCAAAUCAUCACGGCCCUUACGUUCUGGGCUACACACGUGCUACAAUGGUCGGUACAGAAAGCAGCCACUAUGCGAAUAGGAGCUAAUCUAUAAACCCUAUCACAGUUCGGAUCGGAGUCUGCAACUCGACUCCGUGAAGCUGGAAUC